rnacentral:rRNA from 1 species
CAGCAGCCGCGGUAAUACGUAGGGUGCGAGCGUUAAUCGGAUUUACUGGGCGUAAAGCGUGCGCAGGCGGCCCGUUAAGACAGGUGUGAAAUCCCUGGGCUCAACCUAGGAAUUGCGCUUGUGACUGGCGGGCUCGAGUACGGUAGAGGGGGGUGGAAUUCCUGGUGUAGCAGUGAAAUGCGUAGAGAUCAGGAGGAACACCGAUGGCGAAGGCAGCCCCCUGGGCCUGUACUGACGCUCAUGCACGAAAGCGUGGGGAGCAAACAGGAUUAGAUACCCUGGUAGUCCACGCCCUAAACGAUGGGUACUAGCCGUUUGGUGCGCGAGAGCGCUGAGUGGCGAAGCUAACGCGUGAAGUACCCCGCCUGGGGAGUACGGCCGCAAGGUUGAAACUUAAAGGAAUUGGCGGG